GGCCCGGGGCGGAAUCGCGGCAGCGCCACCGGGAUUUUCAAUCAGACGAUUCCUGGUUCGAGUCCAGGCCGGGUCG
rnacentral:tRNA from 1 species